CGUUCUCUGCCGUGUUCGACAGCGUGCAAAACAUUCGCCUUGUCCCUUAAUAACGACACCGGGGACGUCAGGAAACCGGGAGUGCCGGUCCGCCCUCGAGCGGAAAGCCCGAAGGAAUCCCAGCGUUCCCACUUGAACCUCGGGUUCAAGGUCGUUUCGCAGGCAUCGACAUCGGCGGAGAACGU
rfam:Xanthomonas sp. Mitacek01 contig_17, whole genome shotgun sequence.